GAACAAGAGAGGAGGAUACGGGAGCAAAUGCAGGCGACGAUGGAGGCCGAGCAGCGGAGGAUGGUGGAGAUUCUUCAGUACAUGCAAAGUAUUGGCGCCGCUACGGGUGUGACUCCGCCACCUUCGCUAUUCGCUCCACCUCCACCUCCACCUCCUCACUAUUCUACUCCUAAUCAAUCGGCGGCAUCGAACGAUCCUCAUGCUUCAGCGAAUCAUUCACCAAAUCAGUUUCAUUGACCAUCUUGGUGAUGAUACUUGUGGUUGUUAAUGGUACUUCUAUUUGCAAUUAUGGUUGUAGAUGAUGGAGCACUUGGAUUACUUGUGAACUUAUUUGUGAUAUAUUGUGAGACAUGUGAUGUUUGUGAUAUAUAUGUGGUGUUGGUGA